UACGGAGGAUCCAAGCGUUAUCCGGAAUUACUGGGCGUAAAGAGUUGCGUAGGUGGCAGAGUGUGUAGUUAGUGAAAGCGUGUGGCUCAACCAUACUUACAUUAACUAAACUGCUCAGCUAGAGGACAAGAGAGGUACCUGGAAUUCUCAAUGUAGGAGUGGAAUCCGUAGAUAUUGGGAGGAACACCGAUGGCGUAGGCAGGGUACUGGCUUGUUUCUGACACUAAGGCACGAAAGCGUGGGGAGCAAACGGG
rnacentral:rRNA from 1 species